rnacentral:lncRNA from 1 species
UGUAAAUAUAAACCGGUGAAAUUAUGUCCUCUUGUACGGGUGUAAAUAUUUUGGGAAUCUAUUAUCUUGAUUACCACGAUGCAGCAAGCAGAAGCAAUAUUACAACAUUAUCCUUUCAAAUUUAAAAAUUGUCAUAAAAAAUAAACAUGCAAAGAAAAUGUACAUUUAAAUACAGAUAAACUUUUAAACAUGCACAUUUAUAUUUACCUUCUUUGUGUUCCGAAUAGAAUUCGAACGUAACUAUAAAUAUCUACCCAACCGAAUAUAAUUUUGACACGAAUUAAGGUUUUAAAAGACCUAAGAACAAUAUCCAUGUUAAAUGUAGAGUAAUUCAAAACAUGCUUGCUCAUGUAG